CGUGAGAUGUUGGGUUAAGUCCCGCAACGAGCGCAACCCUUGUCCUUUGUUGCCAGCGGGUAAAGCCGGGAACUCAAAGGAGACUGCCAGUGACAAACUGGAGGAAGGCAGGGAUGACGUCAAGUCAUCAUGGCCCUUACGGUCAGGGCUACACACGUGCUACAAUGGGGCGUACAGAGGGAAACGAUACCGCGAGGUGGAGUGGAACCCAAAAAGCGUCCCUAAGUUCGGAUUGGAGUCCGCAACUCGACUCCAUGAAG
rnacentral:rRNA from 1 species